GAAACCAGCACGAGGUGCGCGUCGAACA
rnacentral:piRNA from 1 species